rnacentral:rRNA from 1 species
AUUGAACGCUGGCGGCAGGCUUAACACAUGCAAGUCGAGCGAGUGGCGGACGGGUGAGUAAUAUCUGGGAAACUGCCCGAUGGAGGGGGAUAACUACUGGAAACGGUAGCUAAUACCGCAUACUAUCAGAGGGGCCGAGAUGGGAGUAGCUAGUGGGUGGGGUAAAGGCUCACCUAGGCAACGAUCCCUAGCUGGUUUGAGAGGAUGACCAGCCACACUGGGACUGAGACACGGCCCAGACUCCUACGGGAGGCAGCAGUGGGGAAUUUUGCACAAUGGGGGAAAGCCUGAUGCAGCCAUCCCGCGUGUGUGAGGAAGGCCUUCGGGUUGUAAAGUACUUUCAGCGGGGAGGCGGUACUCGCAGAAUAAGCACCGGCUAACUACGUGCCAGCCGCCGCGGUAAUAC